rnacentral:lncRNA from 1 species
CAUAGUACCUCUCACCUCACAACAGCUCCAUCUGUUACUGCAUCUGCAAAAAGACCUUUUAGAUGCUGUGGAGAAACUGGCUAAAAGUGACCUUCAUCCCUUUCACUCGAGGGCAGACUCAAUUCUUUACUUGGGUCCUGUAUUUAAUCCAGUUCCUUCCUUUGAUGCAACAAUCCUGGCAAUGGGACCAGUCACUGUCCCAUUGAAUCAACUCUGUGCCCACAUUAUCUCAUCAUCCACUCUGUCUCUCACACAUCCACCCCCACACCCCAUUCCAACCUUCUCAGUUCUGCUCUAUAACCAAAUCAUCUAUUUAGAGCCUUCUAAUAAUUUUGUUUUCAAGUCACUUCAGGACACAGCAUGGCAUUCACUUGGUCCAUUGCAGCUGGUUAACUUAAGACUCUCCCUACUGUGUGACUAAAGGACUUCUUUUCAAUGACCCAGAACUACCCCCUUCCAGCAAAGACCCUCCUCAGCUGAAAACAUCUGUAACACCUCUGCCCUGCACAUGAAGGUGCCAAAGAUGCCUCCUUGGACUGUCUUUAAAAAAAGGAUGAUCCAGGUGGCUACUGAAGAGCAGAGACUUUUCUUCUAUGAAGUAGCAUCUACC